rnacentral:rRNA from 1 species
CGAACGGGUGAGUAACGCGUGAGUAACCUGCCCUGGAGUGGGGGGAAACAGUUGGAAACGACUGCUAAUACCGCAUAAGCCCACGAUCCGGCAUCGGAUUGAGGGAAAAGGAUUUAUUCGCUUCAGGAUGGACUCGCGUCCAAUUAGCUAGUUGGUGAGGUAACGGCCCACCAAGGCGACGAUUGGUAGCCGGACUGAGAGGUUGAACGGCCACAUUGGGACUGAGACACGGCCCAG